rnacentral:rRNA from 1 species
ACAUGACUACAACAUAGUGUUAAUGCACCGGAUCUCAUUAGAAAUCCGCAGUUAAGUGUGGUCAGGUUAGAGUAGUAUUGGGAUGUGCUCAGGCUAGAGUAGUACUGGGAUGGGUGACUGCCCGAGAAGUCUUAGUAUUUUACAUGCC